CGGGGGGCAGCAGUGGGGAAUAUUGGACAAUGGGCGAAAGCCUGAUCCAGCAAUGCCGCGUGUGUGAAGAAGGUCUUCGGAUUGUAAAGCACUUUCGACGGGGACGAUGAUGACGGUACCCGUAGAAGAAGCCCCGGCUAACUUCGUGCCAGCAGCCGCGGUAAUACGAAGGGGGCUAGCGUUGCUCGGAAUGACUGGGCGUAAAGGGCGCGUAGGCGGUUUGUUUAGUUAGGCGUGAAAUUCCUGGGCUUAACCUGGGGACUGCGCUUAAUACAGGCAGACUUGAGUUCGGAAGAGGGUCGUGGAAUUCCCAGUGUAGAGGUGAAAUUCGUAGAUAUUGGGAAGAACACCGGUGGCGAAGGCGGCGACCUGGUCCGAUACUGACGCUGAGGCGCGAAAGCGUGGGGAGCAAACAGGAUUAGAUACCCGAGU
rnacentral:rRNA from 1 species